rnacentral:rRNA from 1 species
GAGGCGAACCGGGAGAACUGAAACAUCUAAGUACCCCGAGGAAAAGAAAUCAACCGAGAUUCCCUCAGUAGCGGCGAGCGAACGGGGAUUAGCCCUUAAGCAUCUUGGAAGUUAGUGGAACGGUCCUGGAAAGGCCGGCGAUACAGGGUGAUAGCCCCGUACACGAAAACAACCUUGAUGUGAAAUCGAGUAGGGCGGGACACGUGACAUCCUGUCUGAAUAUGGGGGGACCAUCCUCCAAGGCUAAAUACUCCUGACUGACCGAUAGUGAACCAGUACCGUGAGGGAAAGGCGAAAAGAACCCCUGUGAGGGGAGUGAAAUAGAACCUGAAACCGUGUACGUACAAGCAGUGGGAGCCCUUCGGGGUGACUGCGUACCUUUUGUAUAAUGGGUCAGCGACUUACAUUUUGUAGCGAGGUUAACCGUAUAGGGGAGCCGUAGGGAAACCGAGUCUUAACUGGGCGUCUAGUUGCAAGGUGUAGACCCGAAACCGGGUGAUCUAGCCAUGGGCAGGUUGAAGGUUGAGUAACAUCAACUGGAGGACCGAACCCACUAACGUUGCAAAGUUAGGGGAUGACCUGUGGCUGGGGGUGAAAGGCCAAUCAAACUCGGAGAUAGCUGGUUCUCCCCGAAAGCUAUUUAGGUAGCGCCUCGGACGAAUACUACUGGGGGUAGAGCACUGUUUGGGCUAGGGGGUCAUCCCGACUUACCAACCCCAUGCAAACUCCGAAUACCAGUAAGUAAUAUCCGGGAGACACACGGCGGGUGCUAACGUCCGUCGUGAAGAGGGAAACAACCCAGACCGCCGGCUAAGGUCCCAAAGUUCUGGUUAAGUGGGAAACGAUGUGGGAAGGCUCAGACAGCUAGGAUGUUGGCUUAGAAGCAGCCAUCAUUUAAAGAAAGCGUAAUAGCUCACUAGUCGAGUCGGCCUGCGCGGAAGAUGUAACGGGGCUCAAACCAGGCACCGAAGCCGCGGAUUCACACUUAUGUGUGAGUGGUAGGGGAGCGUUCUGUAAGUCUGCGAAGGUGUAUCGAGAGGUAUGCUGGAGAUAUCAGAAGUGCGAAUGCUGACGUAAGUAACGAUAAAGGGGGUGAAAAGCCUCCUCGCCGGAAGACCAAGGGUUCCUGUCCAACGUUAAUCGGGGCAGGGUGAGUCGACCCCUAAGGCGAGGCCGAAAGGCGUAGUCGAUGGGAAGCAGGUUAAUAUUCCUGCACGACUUGUAAUUGCGAUGGGGGGACGGAGAAGGCUAGGUGGGCCAGGCGACGGUUGUCCUGGUGAAAGUGCGUAGGUGGUGUUUCUAGGCAAAUCCGGAGACACAACACUGAGACACGAGACGAACACACUACGGUGUGGAAGCCAUUAAUGCCCUGCUUCCAGGAAAAGCCUCUAAGCUUCAGAUUACAAGUCAUCGUACCCCAAACCGACACAGGUGGUCGGGUAGAGAAUACCAAGGCGCUUGAGAGAACUCGGGUGAAGGAACUAGGCAAAAUAGAACCGUAACUUCGGGAGAAGGUUCGCUCUUGAUGGUGAAGUCCCUUGCGGAUGGAGCUGUCGGGAGUCGCAGUGACCAGAUGGCUGGGACUGUUUAUCAAAAACACAGCACUCUGCAAACACGAAAGUGGACGUAUAGGGUGUGACACCUGCCCGGUGCCGGAAGGUUAAUUGAUGGGGUUAGCGCAAGCGAAGCUCUUGAUCGAAGCCCCGGUAAACGGCGGCCGUAACUAUAACGGUCCUAAGGUAGCGAAAUUCCUUGUCGGGUAAGUUCCGACCUGCACGAAUGGUGUAACCAUGGCCAUGCUGUCUCCACCCGAGACUCAGUGAAAUCGAAUUCGCCGUGAAGAUGCGGUGUACCCGCGGCUAGACGGAAAGACCCCGUGAACCUUUACUACAGCUUGGCACUGAACAUUGAACCUACAUGUGUAGGAUAGGUGGGAGGCUUUGAAGGCGUGACGCCAGUUGCGCUGGAGCCGUCCUUGAAAUACCACCCUUGUAUGUUUGAUGUUCUAACGCAGGGCCCUGAAUCGGGCUCGCGGACAGUGCCUGGUGGGUAGUUUGACUGGGGCGGUCUCCUCCCAAAGAGUAACGGAGGAGCACGAAGGUUGGCUAAUCCUGGUCGGACAUCAGGAGGUUAGUGCAAUGGCAUAAGCCAGCUUAACUGCGAGACGGACAGGUCGAGCAGGUACGAAAGUAGGUCAUAGUGAUCCGGUGGUUCUGAAUGGAAGGGCCAUCGCUCAACGGAUAAAAGGUACUCCGGGGAUAACAGGCUGAUACCGCCCAAGAGUUCAUAUCGACGGCGGUGUUUGGCACCUCGAUGUCGGCUCAUCACAUCCUGGGGCUGAAGUCGGUCCCAAGGGUAUGGCUGUUCGCCAUUUAAAGUGGUACGCGAGCUGGGUUCAGAACGUCGUGAGACAGUUCGGUCCCUAUCUGCCGUGGGCGUUGGAUGAUUGAAGGGAGUUGCUCCUAGUACGAGAGGACCGGAGUGAACGAACCUCUGGUGUUCGGGUUGUCACGCCAGUGGCACUGCCCGGUAGCUAAGUUCGGAAUCGAUAACCGCUGAAAGCAUCUAAGCGGGAAGCGAGCCCUGAGAUGAGUCAUCCCUGACCCCUUGAGGGUCCUAAAGGGCCGUUGGAGACCACAACGUUGAUAGGUGGGGUGUGUAAGCGC